UACGGAGGAUGCAAGCGUUAUCCGGAAUGAUUGGGCGUAAAGCGUGCGCAGGCGGCUUUGCAAGACAGAUGUGAAAUCCCCGGGCUUAACCUGGGAACUGCAUUUGUGACUGCAUGGCUGGAGUGCGGCAGAGGGGGAUGGAAUUCCGCGUGUAGCAGUGAAAUGCGUAGAUAUGCGGAGGAACACCGAUGGCGAAGGCAAUCCCCUGGGCCUGCACUGACGCUCAUGCACGAAAGCGUGGGGAGCAAACAGG
rnacentral:rRNA from 1 species